rnacentral:rRNA from 1 species
CAAGUCGAGCGAACAGACGAGGAGCUUGCUCCUCUGACGUUAGCGGCGGACGGGUGAGUAACACGUGGAUAACCUACCUAUAAGACUGGGAUAACCUCGGGAAACCGGAGCUAAUACCGGAUAAUAUAUUGAACCGCAUGGUUCAAUAGUGAAAGACGGUUUUGCUGUCACUUAUAGAUGGAUCCGCGCCGCAUUAGCUAGUUGGUAAGGUAACGGCUUACCAAGGCAACGAUGCGUAGCCGACCUGAGAGGGUGAUCGGCCACACUGGAACUGAGACACGGUCCAGACUCCUACGGGAGGCAGCAGUAGGGAAUCUUCCGCAAUGGGCGAAAGCCUGACGGAGCAACGCCGCGUGAGUGAUGAAGGUCUUCGGAUCGUAAAACUCUGUUAUUAGGGAAGAACAAAUGCGUAAGUAACUAUGCACGUCUUGACGGUACCUAAUCAGAAAGCCACGGCUAACUACGUGCCAGCAGCCGCGGUAAUACGUAGGUGGCAAGCGUUAUCCGGAAUUAUUGGGCGUAAAGCGCGCGUAGGCGGUUUUUUAAGUCUGAUGUGAAAGCCCACGGCUCAACCGUGGAGGGUCAUUGGAAACUGGAAAACUUGAGUGCAGAAGAGGAAAGUGGAAUUCCAUGUGUAGCGGUGAAAUGCGCAGAGAUAUGGAGGAACACCAGUGGCGAAGGCGACUUUCUGGUCUGUAACUGACGCUGAUGUGCGAAAGCGUGGGGA